UAGCGUAGGGGGCAAGCGUUGUCCGGAUUCGAUUGGGCGUAAAGAGCGUGUAGGCGGCCAGGUAGGUCGGUUGUGAAAACUGGAGGCUCAACCUUCAGAGGUCGACCGAAACCAUCUGGCUAGAGUCCGGGAGAGGAGAGUGGAAUUCCUGGUGUAGCGGUGAAAUGCGCAGAUAUCAGGAAGAACACCAAUUGCGAAGGCAGCUCGCUGGGACGUUACUGACGCUGAGACGCGAAAGCGUGGGGAGCAAACAGG
rnacentral:rRNA from 1 species